GGCUUGGUGGUGUAGUGGUAACACAACCUUUGAACUUAACGUCGAUUUAUACCACUUCUAAAGGAAGUACCCUGUUCGAUUCCGGGCCAGGCCA